CCUCCAUUUCUUGGCGGGGGCCGGGCGCGCAGUCCCGGCCUCCGUUAUGUGCGGAGGCAGAAGGAAAAGGCUCGAGCCCUCUCGGCGUCAUGUCUUCGGUGCCGGCGACUUCCCGUUCGCCGGUUCUAUCCUCAAGCGCCGGGACACGC